GGAAAAGCUAAUUUUCCCCUUUUCUAGUUAUUUUAAAAAGCUCCUGGUUUUGGAAGCUGGGGGAGGGGAAUCCAGGAGCUGAGCUCCUCCAACCUUUCAUCUUCCAGAGGAGCCUGUUUAAAUAGCAAAUCAUUGGUUUGUGUGGAAGACUUGAAAAAAGUAAGGCGGGUUGAGGUUGGCCCAGCUGCCACAUGCCCACCCAACUGCUCUCACUCCACUCCAGAACUCAGGAGAAAGUAAAUGUCUUAUGUGGGUCAGGAUAAUGUACCAUAGAAUCACUAAGUUUGGAGAACACCUCUAAGGUCACCCAGUCCAAUAGUGGCUGCCAAGCCCACCAUUAACCAUGUCCACAAGUGCCACAGCUCCAUGUCUUUUAAAUGCCGCCACAGAUGGGGAUGCCACCACUGCCCAGAGCAGAUCAACAACGUCCAUAGAUAAAACCAAGGGCGUCGUGUACUGGUUACUGCCAUAGGCAAAACAGGCUCCGCUUGGGGAAAAUUAGUUGAACUUACUGCCAAAUAGAAGAUGAAUGGUGAGAGGCAAAGACCGCCAAAAAAACCGCCAACUCCCCCUCCCCGCAAAAAACCGGAAAAAAGCCCCCCAAACCCCAAAAUGCUUUCUCCCCGACUUUUUUUCUGUUGUCUUCAGUCCUUCACCACUAACUGCUGCCUCCUCCCUCCUUCAGGCCGGCCACGGCUCCUCCGACGGUUUCGGCGCCCUCAGCUGCCCAGGGGCGGCGGGAACCGGCGGUGCCCGGCACAGGGCAGCCUCUCCCUCACGGACACUCCCUCCCCUCAGAGACCCCCCCACCACAGGUUCCUCCCUUCAGCCCCCCUCACAGAGAUUCUCUUCAAAGACCCCCUCACAGAGAUCACCCCCCUACUGUUCCCUCAGAUUCCCCUCAGAGACCCCCUCACAGUGACACUCCCCCAGCUCCCUCCCUUUAGAGGCCCCUCACUGAGACCCCCUCAAAGAGACCCCCCACAGCUCCCUCCCCUCAGAGAGGCCCCUCUCCUAGAGACCCCCUAAUAGAGAUUGCUUUUAAAGACCCCCUCACAGAGAUCUGCCCACUGUUCCCUCCCCUCAGAGAUUCUCCUCAGAGACCCCCUCACAGAGAUUCCCCUCAUAGAGACCCCCCCAGCUCCUUCCCCUCAGAGACCGCCUCAGAGGGACCCCCUCACAGAAAUCCCCACACAGUUGAUUCCCCUCAGAGACCCCCUCACAGAAAUCCCCACACAGUUGAUUCCCCUCAGAGACCCCUCCACGGCUCCCUCCCCACCACCCCCUGCCAGCACUGGGCACCGGCACUUGACACGGACAGGAGCCGAAAGAUGUGAUUCACAAUCGAAAAUCCUUGAGGGACUUGGACGUGGGCCCAGAGCAAUUGGGAAGACAAAUACUAGUGUGAGAGCAGUGUUGGAAGCAAUUCUGGCAUCACGACUCCCUGGAGCCUGCAAAACUCAUGUAGAUUUGACUUCUUCAGAGGAAUUUGGUGUGAUACCUUACAAUUUGGCUGAGGCGGGCAUUUUUCAUACAAAAUCAGGUGAUCUGCCUUCCCUGCUAUCCUUGCACUUCUAGGGAGUAGAGUCUACAAGAAGACUGGAGGUCCCUGUUGCCAGAGCACAGUGGGGCUGUGCAUGACCAAGGGACAGUUUAAUAAACAAGGAGGGUGUUUAUGGACUUUGAUACAGAGGAAGAUGAAGAAUAUCAAUCCUUAAUGGUGUUGAUCAGCUACUACCUGAAUAUUGGACAAAUGCUUGCAGACUGCAGUGCUGCCUCUGGAAAAUAAGGUAAGAGGAGAGGAGUGAACUGUAGUGGUUUUCAUGGAAAUGUCCUUGUGGGUUGUGAGUGCUCAGCUUACCAAAGGUGGGUGUGCUGUGAUCAGCCCUUCCCUGCUUCAGACUGCAGGAGUGCCAUCACUGAAGCUACCAAAUACAAACACAGUACCCCAAGCACAACUAAUGAGUGAAACUCUGCCAAGUACAUGCUCAGUCUUAAAAAAAACCCAAACAACUAAAUGAAAAUAUAUUCUUGGAGCCUGUGAAGCUAUUGUGAACUUUUCUCCUGCUGCUUGUUGUGAAGCCUGCAUGCUCAGUGGUGCAGUGACUGAAAUGUGAUGUUGUACCAGGUGACAAUCUAAAGAACUAUGGGAAUUGCUGGAAUAAGGCAAAAGUGGUUGGACUUACAUAGCUCUGUCCGCAUCAGUUGUUUACUGUGCCUUCAGAAAGCUUAAAGGUUUUAUAUGGGAGCUUUCUUCUGGUGUGGCUGCCCUGGCUUGUGCCUCCAUCCUUGCCAUUAACUGCUCCUGUGAGUUGUUACUCAACUACCUUGAAGACUUACUUUUUGUAAAAUUUGUUUUCGUUUGCAUGUUGGUAUGUUGCCCCAACCCGUACUUUGUCCUGUGAUCUGUCAACUUCUUGUUCUUUGAUGACAGUAGUUGAGAGCCUUGUGUAAGAACAGACAAGUCAGAGGGAAGGAAGGUGAGAGAAGUGACUCUGAGCACUUGACCAGCAAUAGGAAAGCUGUGGCUCCAAUGCAGGCUGAUGCAGCCUUCCCCUCAAGUCAGGCUGAAAAAGGCAGGGGAGGCUUCAACAACGAGGUGGAGAUGGAUCUGUUUCUGAAAGAUGAAUCUUGCUAGUCUUCUUCUACACAGGUUUCUCUGAAGUAAUUCCCUGCUGGUUUGAAAUUUAAAAUGCUUUACCUCAAAACCAAUAAUUACUCUGUGAUUGUCCUGUGAGAUGUGGCAAAGGAGAAAACAGCACAUAAAUUCAAGCACUGCAGUUAUCCUUUCAGAGUCUGCAUGUUAACUGCACAUAGCUGCCUGUGCAGGAGGAGUGGGAUAAGCAAUGCUGCUGAGCAGGCUGGUAAUCCUCCCUGAGGCACCCAGUUUGUCUUAAAAGCACUGUGAUAAAUAAUCUAAUGAAUUGUAGUGAUGAAGAGAAAUUUCUCCUAGGUAGAUAAUAAUAUGCAAUAAGUGCCUAAACACUUGUGAAUCAGUUAGAAUAAAAAUAAUUACUCUAUUAGUAUACCUCAUAGGCAUAAUAAAACCUGCCAAACAUCAUUACUAGGGAGCAUGUGGUAACAACAUGAAACUGAUACAAUAUUCAACAGCAGCACUGUAGGAGCUGAAAUCCCUCUCCUUCCAUGGAGGAUGUCAGUAAGAACAGAAGUUGGGUUUAGGUGCAUUCCACCUGACUGCUUGUUCCCAAAAAUAAUUAUUUGUAAUCUUUCAUAGUGUUUAGAGGGAAAGGAAGACACCAAUUAGAUAAAUCACUUAAUUUCUAAAGGCUCUGAGACAACUGGUUUAUGACAUUUUUUUCCAUUGCCUAUUAGAUGACAUAGGGGCUAUAUCCUGCAAAAUGCCUUCUUGUCUGACUAAUCUUUUAAGGCUGUAAUUUGGCUCGCCUUGAAUGUCGCAUUCCAGGAGUUUUAAAGGGAAAACGAUGAUGGCACUAAGGGAUGCGGCUCUUGGGCACGGACGGGACUCGGGUAGCUCUGGCUGUCGGAGGUGCCGUGUCUCCCGACAGCGGGUGGGUAAAGCGCUGCUGCGCCAGGGAUGGCAUCAUGGAUCCCACUCCGGCUUGCUCUCUCCUCUCCCUGAGCGCGGGGCGGGCAGCGGCGCGCACUGAGGC